rnacentral:rRNA from 1 species
UACGAAGGGGGCUAGCGUUGUUCGGAUUUACUGGGCGUAAAGCGCACGUAGGCGGAUCGAUCAGUCAGGGGUGAAAUCCCAGGGCUCAACCCUGGAACUGCCUUUGAUACUGUCGAUCUGGAGUAUGGAAGAGGUGAGUGGAAUUCCGAGUGUAGAGGUGAAAUUCGUAGAUAUUCGGAGGAACACCAGUGGCGAAGGCGGCUCACUGGUCCAUUACUGACGCUGAGGUGCGAAAGCGUGGGAGCAAACAGG